rnacentral:lncRNA from 1 species
AUCCGCUGCCAUUGAUGGCGAGCCCAUUGAGAUCGUCCUGCCCCUGCAUCCUGCCCUGCUGGCACUGCGCCCACAUCUGCUGCUCCUACGCCAACACUCCUGCUUCCUCUCCAUCUUUGUCAUCUUAUAGGAGGUGGACACUCCUACCAGCGCCAGCUCCUACACCUAUUAAUCCAGCGAAUUAUAAGGAACAUAACACUCAUAUAUCAAUGGAACUAAUAGCUAUUCAAUUAGUUUUUCCAAGAAAAAGGAACAAUGCAGGUGUUGGUUAUCAGGCAAAAGUAUGUGGCCACACAGGGACGUAAGACUGACGCGAGCAUUUGAUGUGCGAGCACUCUUCUUCAGGCCACAAGAACACCAUUCCAACAUCCCACAACCAAACAGUGGAUGUGUGUACAUAUCAUUAUAAAGGGAUAUGCAUGGUUAUUAAGAGAAAUGAGAGAACUAACCAUGCUAUAAACUAACCAAGAGCUGUCACAAGAGUUAUAUCACUUGCUAGUCCUAUCUUCUUAGGAGCAGAGCAAAUCGUCCAGGAAAUAAAUCAUCAAUAUAUACAAGUAUGUAACGAAUUAUACCAAGUUACUAACUCUAUGGUAUAACUCCCAAACCUAGUGACAUUUCAGGAGCAGAACAAAUUGUCCGACAAAUAAAUCAACCAAUACAAGUAUGUAACGAAUUAGACCAAGUUACUAACUCUAUCAGACACCUCAUAUUUGAACCAGGCAUGUGUGCGCAACAAUAUGAACUAUUUCUCUCAAAAGUGUCUCAAUAUGCUCUAGUUUAUCUCAAAUUGCAUCAUUGGACUCAUAAACUGAAACAUACAACUUGCCCUUACUCAUGACCAGUCAAAGCAUAAAAAUUGGGUGUGAGUUAAGCUAUACCUCAAGCUCCACAUCAUGAUCUGAAAAUGAGUCCAUGGUAGCAUGUGGUUUGUGAGUGCGAAAGAACGAUCUGUCGAGUUCUUUAAACCCUCCCGCUAUAACUAUUCCUCGCCAGUCCUUGAAAGCCAACGAAUAAUAUUUAAUUGGUGAGAAACACAAGCUAUAACAUCACACAUAAGAAGUGACUCAAAUCAUUUUUACGGUUGCUGAUCAAAAUGGUACACACAUUGGCAACAUUUCAUUAAGCUAGUCAACGACAAACCAAAUCACUGACACAACACAAACGACUACAACAUGUAUUCCUAGCAUACAUGCAUUACACACUGGCUGGGCCACAAUUACAAUGCAGUGAAUUAUGCAAUACGAAGGCAAUAGAGUAUGUGGCGUACACGUACCAAUGGCUUGAGAUGGUGCCCGCUGCCGGAGAUCUUGAUCUACAGCCAGCAUUUCAAACUAACUAAAUGAACAUCAAAGCAGUAGACUUGCAGGCUUGCAGCCCAAUGGGGAUCAAGGCA